GAGGCUUCCUAGGCCGCAGCUCAAGCCCCAGAGCCUCCUCCAAAACCUGAAAAGUUAAAAAUCCCCCUCUCAGGCCGCGCCCACUCCACGAAGUUAGGCUUCCGACCCAAGACCACGCCCAUUUCCGUUCUCGACGCCCUCAGCGUCCCGCCCCUCACCCUGGACGUCUCACCUCGAGGACCACUUUGCGCAUGUGCCCCAGUUCCUGGAGCGAGAGUGCAGAGCCUUCUGGGACCGCUGGAUUGAUUUUGAAGGUUUAGGUGGCGGGAAACUCGUCAGUGGCCUGGAUGAGGAGGAAAAAAGGACAUCUAGGUUCGUAGUAGACUUUCCUGGAGCGCUUCCUAGAAAAGCCUGGGCCUUGAGCAGAUGGAGCAGGCGAAUUCUGUACGUCCAGACGGCGAGCCCAAAGCAGGUAUUUUAGCUCACUUGGAAGGACUAGAGGCUCAAAUGAGCAGACCCUGUAAAAGGUCUAAAGAGCUACAGCAAGCUCGGGCAGAGGAAAGUGCUCUUGGGACCAAGAUUCAUGAACUGAGGCGCCUGCGAGACAAGCUCAGGGCUGAAGUGAACCAGCAGCGAGCCAGAGGUAAAGCAUCUUCUGCCAACGUAGAAUCUGGCCAAACAGUGGAGAUUGGAGAGCAGGAAGUUUUGGAAAGGAAACAGGAAAGUGUGAAAGCCAUUCUGCAGGCAUAUCGUUUUACAGGGCUCAGCGGAAAACAGACUAGCCGAGGAGUCUGUGUCUGCAUCAGCACUGCUUUUGAGGGGAACCUACUGGAUUCCUACUUUGUGGACCUUGUCAUACAGAGACCGCUCUGGAUCCAUCACCAUUCCAUUCCAGUCUUCAUUCCUCUAGAAAAGAUAGCUGCAAAGUACCUACAGACUGAUGUUCAGCGCUUCCUGUUCAGUCUAUGCGAGUCCCUAAACGCUUAUGCUGGGAGGAAGUACCAGGCAGACCGACUUCAGAGUGACUUUGCAGCCUUUUUGAUCAGACCCUUGCAAAGAAACUCCCUGUGCAACUUGCUGUCGUUUACUUACAAAGUGGACCUGAUGGGUCAGUCCUCGUUUUGUGCCAGAUUGCUGUAUAAGGACCUCACUGCAACUCUUCCAACUGAUGCCACUGUUACAUACCAAGACUCUCUUUUAGGGACAGAAGCAUUGUCUGCUUUGAGGGAAGAGCAGCGGGCAUCCCAUGAAGCUUUAUUCUGCACCAAGCCCCUGCAUCAGGUAUUUGCUUCAUUUGCAAGAGAAGAGGAGCUGGAUUUGAGCCUGGCCUCUUAACAUGCUGUUUCUGCUGGGGAAGCAUCUGCGGUGAAUGGCGAGACCUACACCUGCAAACUGCCAAAAGACCCAUGCUAUGUCAAGGCACCAUCCUCACCGUGACAACACCUGUUGCUUCAUCAGGAUGACAAGGUGAAAUGCCUCGCGACAUGCUCAGGCAACAUGUUGGUGACCAGGGCCUCAUUCCAGCGUCGCAUCUCAUACACACGUUCCUUCUGGUCAUGGACCUCAAUCUUCCACAAAAACAGUGUUCGUGCCAGUUUUUCCACCUAGAGAUACAGGCAUAGGCAAGGUAGGUAUAUGCUCUAAAGCUGGUUGUUUAAGGAAAGAUCAAGAACGGGACUUAAAGGAAGGGGAUCAAUUUGGAAAAACUGAAAGGUGUGUAAAUAGCAAGGAAAGUAAAAACCCUGGAGGAUUCAUGCCCCACAGCAAGUGAGGAUCCCAGCCUCUGUGGUUACAACUGAGAUCCAGCAGGUGUUCACAUGUAUAAGGAGCCUCGGGGUCCUAAUUUUAGCUGCAGGUCUGUCUUGUUGGGUGGGGGCGCCAAGAUCUCCCAGCCCAGGGCAAGGUCCCCAUUUGCCCCUACUCCGUUUGGCAGAGAAGUGGCUCAAGAAGGCUGUACUUCCCCCAGCACGCCACUAGGCGGCACCCAAGCUAACAUGGAGUCCUUGUAUGGAUACCUUCCCUUCUCUUUUUAACCACGAAAACUUCCUCAGUUCCCUUCCCAUUCUCCUCUGGCUCCAGAGUGUGUGUGUGUGUGUGUGUGUGUGCACGCGCACAUGUGUGUGCACACGCCCUCCCUCCACAGCAGGGUGAGUGCAGAAGCCCUCAGCCCUGGCCUAAGUAAUAGAUUUAUCUAGGCUUUUAUGCCAGCACCCUGUCCCCUACCUCCCAUACAUCCUUCAGGCUCCUGAAAGUCAGGGAUGAAGUGUUUUGCUCAAUUACUGAGGAAGAAACCAGAACAUGGAGAAGGCAGUGGCUUGCCCAAGGUCGCACAGCAUGCUGAGUAAAGGAACCAGCAUUCCUUAGGAGCCUGGCCUUCGGACACUGGGAGGUUUGGGCACAGGAGGAUAGGAUGGUAUGGGCACUCACGUGUCGGGAGAAGUAGUAAAAGCUCAGCAUCAUGAUGAGUAUCAUCACUGUCAUCGAGUACUUCGAAGGUACCAGGGGCAGCCUGCUGGCAAGGAAGAUAACUUGAAAGAGCACCCAUGCUACCCUCCUGGAAAGGGGAACCCCUCUAACUGGGUGAUUUUUCUGUCACACUAGGUCUCAGAAACUGCCCCUACCCUCUAAGGCCCCUUCAUAUUAAGUCCAGAUUCCCUGGGGGCAGUAAGCUUUCUUAGGCCAUUGGGCUUCUAUCUAACCAGCCAGCCCUGGCCUCUCCUGGCUAUCUGAGGAAUUUACAUCAGGGCAGACUCUGGGAUACUUAAUAGCCACUGUAGCACCUGAUGGAUCCCAGAAAUGGCUACCAGCAUGUAGGACUGAAGAAGGGAAAAACCAGUAGUGCUGGGAUUUCACAGGGAUUAGGGCACAAUCUUAACAUGGCUUUUUCUAACUUUAUCCAUAUUUUUGUGUGGCGCUAUAGUUAAUUUCUACUACUGUAUUCUACUGUACGAAUAUACCACAGUUUAUCCAUUUCCUGUUGAUGUCAUUUGGGUUGUUUCCAUUUUGGUGUGUGUGUGCGUGUGUCUAUGUCUAUGUAUUGUAAACAAUAGUACGAUGGAUGUUCUUAUGUCAAGAGCAAGCCUACAUAAUUUUGGGGAAAAAUCAUUUCACAAAUUAUGAUUAAGCCUAGGCUUUUUGCCCACAGGCCGGCUACAUCAUGCCGAAACAUAACUCCAUUUCUGCCUCCGGUUACAGCUGAGACCUCAGUGGUCCCAUGAUGCUGUGAUCCUCAAAGGCAAGAUUACAUCAGAGGUCUCAUUUGGGGAGGGGUAAAUUCCUUAUCAGCUUAACUCAUCGCAUCUACUGUUGUAAGAAUGUCUUUGCUCAUCUUGCCAUCCUAGUCAACCUAAGACCCUCAUCAGCAUAAUAUCCUCAUGCUUUUAGGAUUACCAUCGCCCUCUGAGUCAUCUGUUACCCUCAAUGAACCCAAGAAAUAGUGGCAAGCUCGGGGUGCCUUUGUCUUUGCUGCCCAGAAUAGCAUUGGUGAGGCCCAGAGCUCAGCUUCUUCUCUAAGUAUCAUUUCCUGUCUUUAUUCUUGAAUUCGCCUUGUGCUGUUGUGGCUCACAGGAGACCAGGGCCCACUGCAGGGUUUCUGGUAACAUCCACUUUCCCUGUUCCCUACACUUAUACACAGCCCCUGGACAUACACAUUUGCGUGAAUUUCUCUAAGGCAUGUAUAGGUACAAGUGAAAUUGCUGAGUCACAGGACUAUUUCAGCUUUACUAAAUAACCCCAAAUUGUUUCCAAAGUGGUUCUACCAGUUUAUACUGCCACCAGGCAUGCAUGAGUUACCAUUAAACUUGAUCUCAGAUUUUUAAAUUUU